UGAUAUAUGCUUGUCUCAAAGACUAAGCCAUGCAUGUCUAAGUAUGAACAACUUUAUACUGUGAAACUGCAGAUGGCUCAUUAAAACAGAGAUAAUUUAUUUGAUGGUGACUUACUACAUGGAUACCCGUGGUAAUUCUAGAGCUAAUACAUGCACAAAAGUGUGGUCCUCGUGGCUACGCUGUAUUUGUUAGAUUAAGAACCAAUCGCAAGCUUGCUUGUGUAUUCUGGUGACUCAUGACAACUGAUCGAAUCGCAGUGCCUUUUGGCGGCGAUGUUUCAUUCAAAUUUCUGCCCUAUCAGCUUUCGAUGGUAGUGUAGUGGACUACCAUGGCUUUAACGGGUGACGGGGAAUGAGGGUUCGAUUCCGGAGAGGGAGCCUGAGAAACGGCUACCACAUCCAAGGAAGGCAGCAGGCGCGCAAAUUACCCAAUCCCAACACGGGGAGGUAGUGACAAGAAAUAGCAUGACUGGAAGUUUCAUCUUCUGGUUUUUGCAAUGAGUGUAAUGUAAAUGCCUAUGCAAGUAUCCAUUGGAGGGCAAGUCUGGUAAGG
rnacentral:rRNA from 1 species